GCCUACCUCAACAUGCGGCACUACGGGCAGCAAGGGAUGGGCGCAAGUGCCAGCGAAUACCAGACACCCUGAAGCCGGUGGAUGAUCAUCUCGACAUGUUCCUUGUGGUGCCAGCAACACUUGCACCGCUGGUGUGGCAUUCUUUGCACGCUAUGCUGGGAUAGUUUUUUAGGAGUGCCAUGUCUGGACAGCUUAUUCAGAAGCAGGCUGUCGUCGUCGAGAUCCAUGCUUUUUUUUUAACGGAUGAUGUUGCAGUGCCCACAUGGGCACUACAGAUUUGCAGCCUACAGGCAGUGUGCCCUGUGGCUGUGGAGCCGCUUGGGAAAGAAGAAUAGGCGGCCCCUGCCAUCCUGUGUGGUCAAGACAAUUAGGGGCAGGUACCCUGCUGACGUGUAUGCGGGCUACAGGGAUGCAGAAUAAAUUGCGUUGACCUAGAGACCACGCAACCCCCUUCCCUUGUC
rnacentral:lncRNA from 1 species